rnacentral:rRNA from 1 species
GAUGAACGCUGGCGGCGUGCCUAAUACAUGCAAGUCGAGCGAACGGACGAGAAGCUUGCUUUUCUGAUGUUAGCGGCGGACGGGUGAGUAACACGUGGAUAACCUACCUAUAAGACUGGGAUAACUUCGGGAAACCGGAGCUAAUACCGGAUAAUAUUUUGAACCGCAUGGUUCAAAAGUGAAAGACGGUCUUGCUGUCACUUAUAGAUGGAUCCGCGCUGCAUUAGCUAGUUGGUAAGGUAACGGCUUACCAAGGCAACGAUGCAUAGCCGACCUGAGAGGGUGAUCGGCCACACUGGAACUGAGACACGGUCCAGACUCCUACGGGAGGCAGCAGUAGGGAAUCUUCCGCAAUGGGCGAAAGCCUGACGGAGCAACGCCGCGUGAGUGAUGAAGGUCUUCGGAUCGUAAAACUCUGUUAUUAGGGAAAGACAUAUGUGUAAGUAACUGUGCACAUCUUGACGGUACCUAAUCAGAAAGCCACGGCUUACUACGUGCCAGCAGCCGCGGUAAUACGUAAGUGGCAAGCGUUAUUCCGAAUUAUUGGGCGUAAAGCGCGCGUAGGCGGUUUUUUAGUCUGAUGUGAAAGCCCACGGCUCAUCCGUGGAGGGUCAUUGGAAACUGGAAAACUUGAGUGCAGAAGAGGAAAGUGGAAUUCCAUGUGUAGCGGUGAAAUGCGCAGAGAUAUGGAGGAACACCAGUGGCGAAGGCGACUUUCUGGUCUGUAACUGACGCUGAUGUGCGAAAGCGUGGGGAUCAAACAGGAUUAGAUACCCUGGUAGUCCACGCCGUAAACGAUGAGUGCUAAGUGUUAGGGGGUUUCCGCCCCUUAGUGCUGCAGCUAACGCAUUAAGCACUCCGCCUGGGGAGUACGACCGCAAGGUUGAAACUCAAAGGAAUUGACGGGGACCCGCACAAGCGGUGGAGCAUGUGGUUUAAUUCGAAGCAACGCGAAGAACCUUACCAAAUCUUGACAUCCUUUGACAACUCUAGAGAUAGAGCCUUCCCCUUCGGGGGACAAAGUGACAGGUGGUGCAUGGUUGUCGUCAGCUCGUGUCGUGAGAUGUUGGGUUAAGUCCCGCAACGAGCGCAACCCUUAAGCUUAGUUGCCAUCAUUAAGUUGGGCACUCUAAGUUGACUGCCGGUGACAAACCGGAGGAAGGUGGGGAUGACGUCAAAUCAUCAUGCCCCUUAUGAUUUGGGCUACACACGUGCUACAAUGGACAAUACAAAGGGCAGCGAAACCGCGAGGUCAAGCAAAUCCCAUAAAGUUGUUCUCAGUUCGGAUUGUAGUCUGCAACUCGGCUACAUGAAGCUGGAAUCGCUAGUAAUCGUAGAUCAGCAUGCUACGGUGAAUACGUUCCCGGGUCU